UUUCGCCAGACGAAGCGCAAGUGACGGCAUGUGUAGAAGAAGGACCGGCCAACUACGUGCCAGCAGCCGCGGUAAUACGUAGGGUCCGAGCGUUGUCCGGAAUUAUUGGGCGUAAAGGGCUCGUAGGCGGUCUGUCGCGUCGGGAGUGAAAACCAGGUGCUUAACACCUGGCCUGCUUUCGAUACGGGCAGACUAGAGGUACUCAGGGGAGAAUGGAAUUCCUGGUGUAGCGGUGAAAUGCGCAGAUAUCAAUGAGGAACACCGGUGGCGAAGGCGGUUCUCUGGGAGUAUCCUGACGCUGAGGAGCGAAAGUGUGGGGGAGCGAACAGGGAUUAAAUACCCUGGUAGUCCACACCCGUAAACGUUGGGGCGCUAGGUUGUUGGGGAUCCAUUCCCAACGGGGUUCCGUGCCGCAGCUAACGCUUUAACCGCCCCGCCUGGGGGGAGUUCCGGCCCCAGGGCUU
rnacentral:rRNA from 1 species